GAUGAACGCUAGCUACAGGCUUAACACAUGCAAGUCGAGGGGCAGCAUUUCAGUUUGCUUGCAAACUGGAGAUGGCGACCGGCGCACGGGUGAGUAACACGUAUCCAACCUGCCGAUAACUCGGGGAUAGCCUUUCGAAAGAAAGAUUAAUACCCGAUGGUAUAAUCAGACCGCAUGGUCUUGUUAUUAAAGAAUUUCGGUUAUCGAUGGGGAUGCGUUCCAUUAGGCAGUUGGUGAGGUAACGGCUCACCAAACCUUCGAUGGAUAGGGGUUCUGAGAGGAAGGUCCCCCACAUUGGAACUGAGACACGGUCCAAACUCCUACGGGAGGCAGCAGUGAGGAAUAUUGGUCAAUGGGCGCAGGCCUGAACCAGCCAAGUAGCGUGAAGGAUGACUGCCCUAUGGGUUGUAAACUUCUUUUAUAUGGGAAUAAAGUUUUCCACGUGUGGAAUUUUGUAUGUACCAUAUGAAUAAGGAUCGGCUAACUCCGUGCCAGCAGCCGCGGUAAUACGGAGGAUCCGAGCGUUAUCCGGAUUUAUUGGGUUUAAAGGGAGCGUAGGUGGACAGUUAAGUCAGUUGUGAAAGUUUGCGGCUCAACCGUAAAAUUGCAGUUGAUACUGGCUGUCUUGAGUACAGUAGAGGUGGGCGGAAUUCGUGGUGUAGCGGUGAAAUGCUUAGAUAUCACGAAGAACUCCGAUUGCGAAGGCAGCUCACUGGACUGCAACUGACACUGAUGCUCGAAAGUGUGGGUAUCAAACAGGAUUAGAUACCCUGGUAGUCCACACAGUAAACGAUGAAUACUCGCUGUUUGCGAUAUACAGUAAGCGGCCAAGCGAAAGCAUUAAGUAUUCCACCUGGGGAGUACGCCGGCAACGGUGAAACUCAAAGGAAUUGACGGGGGCCCGCACAAGCGGAGGAACAUGUGGUUUAAUUCGAUGAUACGCGAGGAACCUUACCCGGGCUUAAAUUGCAUUUGAAUAUAUUGGAAACAGUAUAGCCGUAAGGCAAAUGUGAAGGUGCUGCAUGGUUGUCGUCAGCUCGUGCCGUGAGGUGUCGGCUUAAGUGCCAUAACGAGCGCAACCCUUAUCUUUAGUUACUAACAGGUCAUGCUGAGGACUCUAGAGAGACUGCCGUCGUAAGAUGUGAGGAAGGUGGGGAUGACGUCAAAUCAGCACGGCCCUUACGUCCGGGGCUACACACGUGUUACAAUGGGGGGUACAGAAGGCAGCUACCUGGUGACAGGAUGCUAAUCCCAAAAGCCUCUCUCAGUUCGGAUCGAAGUCUGCAACCCGACUUCGUGAAGCUGGAUUCGCUAGUAAUCGCGCAUCAGCCAUGGCGCGGUGAAUACGUUCCCGGGCCUUGUACACACCGCCCGUCAAGCCAUGAAAGCCGGGGGUACCUGAAGUACGUAACCGCAAGGAGCGUCCUAGGGUAAAACU
rnacentral:rRNA from 1 species